GUGAUCCUAUCUCAAUUCUGAGGGGCUGUAUGCUCAGCAACAACAUGGCCAGCAUGUAGGAAAGGAGAUCGAUGUGGGGAUUUUCAAAGACGUUGAAGAAGCUGCAGAGUUUGCCAUUACAAACCCUGAACCCCCACUGGAGGACCUGUGUAACCACAUCUUCUGCAAUGAUCCACCCCUGGAUGUGCGUGGCACAAACCCAUGGACCAAGUUGAAUAAACAGUCAUGGAAAUCAGGAUUGGGGAUGAAAUACUCAAGGACUUACAGAUGGAUCAGUUGAAGAGAGAGUGGAAAUGAAUGUGAAAGAGC